UAGGGAAUAUUGGACAAUGGGGGCAACCCUGAUCCAGCCAUGCCGCGUGAGUGAAGAAGGCCCUCGGGUUGUAAAGCUCUUUUGUCCGGAAAGAAAAGCUUCGGGUUAAUACCCCGGGGUUCUGACGGUACCGGAAGAAUAAGCACCGGCUAACUUCGUGCCAGCAGCCGCGGUAAUACGAAGGGUGCAAGCGUUACUCGGAAUUACUGGGCGUAAAGCGUGCGUAGGUGGUUGUUUAAGUCUGAUGUGAAAGCCCUGGGCUCAACCUGGGAAUGGCAUUGGAAACUGGGCUGCUAGAGUGCGGUAGAGGGUAGUGGAAUUCCCGGUGUAGCAGUGAAAUGCGUAGAGAUCGGGAGGAACAUCUGUGGCGAAGGCGACUGCCUGGACCAGCACUGACACUGAGGCACGAAAGCGUGGGGAGCAAACA
rnacentral:rRNA from 1 species